GCUGAAUAGCUCAGUGGUAAGAGCAGUCGCCCGGCAAGCGAAAGACUCUGGUUCGAUUCCCGAUCAGCG
rnacentral:tRNA from 1 species